UCCCCAAGAAAAGUGUACAAAGGUCUACAGCUUUCUGUUUUUCUCCCUCACAAAUUUAACAGUAGCAGUUCCACUGCUUCCUGGAGAUGACCCUGACCGUGUCCAGGAACGAAGAAAGAGGACCUAAGAGUGACAGAACACAACCCACCACAAGAUCUAGAGUCAUCACAGAACUACUGAAAUGACUGGGCAGGGGCAGCGUUAACUAUAGGAUGAUACAAACAGAACAAGUGGACAGAGCAACUGGGGACCACUUCUCUACCGUGGAAGAUGUGCCAGAUUUUUUUCCAAGACUGGGGCUUGGGCUGACUGCUCUGUACUUCCACAUCCUCUUUAUAAGUGUGGAUGCUGUGUUUGAUGGUAUGCAGUCUUCUGAAAUCCCUAAUGUUUCCCACUGUGAAGAAACCAGGAGCAGAAAACACGUCUUCUGACUCUGGGUGUGCAACUCAAAAUUGUUGUGAUAUUGCGCAACAAAUUCAAUGCUGAAGUGGCACCUCCAAGCAUCACCUGCUCUCAAGCAAGCACAGCUCAGCCUGGAGAGCACCAUCAACUGUUCCUCGCACUGCAAAUUCAUUUGAAAAGGCAAACGUGACGGAUUCUUCCCUUUGAAGAGGAGGCAGCUCUGUGCCCGAACUCCUGGGCCACAGGAACCCUGAUCUUCUACCUGCACCUUCCUCCAGCCCAGGGAAGGCAGGUAAAGUGUGGAGAAGGAGCUGUGGCCUUUUCAGUAGCUGGACCAGCAUGUGCCCUGUUGCUCACCACCAUCCCAGUAGGAAGGCCUUUAAGUUUCCCCUUUCCUUCUUUAUUUCUUAUCAAAGAGAUUCGGCGACUUCCCACUCAGAGCAUCAGCUCUGACAAAUUCAAUUCAUAAAUCCUAUCCAUGCACUAUUCGGAGACCUUCAGCCCCUAAUUCAUGGCUGUGGGGUUUCUCUCCCGGAGCCAGGCAGGUGCUAGUAUGACUAGCAAUGCAACCAAUAAAUUCCUUUUAAACACAGUGAAAACCUUAAGG
rnacentral:lncRNA from 1 species